UAGGAUGUAACUCAGUGGUAAGAGUGCAUGCCUGCCAUGUGUGAGGCUCUGGGUUCAAUCUCCAGUACUGCUAA
rnacentral:tRNA from 1 species